AUCACACCUUAAGUGUCAAAUAACAACUCAAAAGAUGAAUAACAUAGUUAAUUUCUUACUAUAAAACCCUUUUCUUUUAAUUUUUAACAUUGUCAGGUGGCUUUUGAUCCAUUACCAGUGGGUUUGCUCAGCACAAAUGCAUCCACAAUCCAUGAACACAUAAGCUUUUACUUAUUAAGACAAGAAAGAGCACAACUUCAGUUCUUUCGGGAAAUGGAUUGUUACAAUUGCUCUUUAUCUUUGUUUCAGACUGACUCCAAAGUUUACUCCAAUUUCUCACCUGCAAAUUCCACAAGGAAGCUGAAACUGUGACUGUUGCCAUAAUCACUGGGGGGAUUUCAACUGGUAUAGAAAUCCUGGUUUACUCUACCUAUAGGGAGAGUUAAAGUUUUUUCAGCACUGUUUCCCAAAAUAUUAAAGCUUCUUCAAAGUCAAUUAAGCUGCUGAUAAAAUGGAUUUACAGAAAUAAAAUAUUGGCCAGGUAGAACUUAAAAAUUUCUAUUUUCUAUAGUUAGUUUCUUUUGUGCUUUCCUAAGCAACUCAUCAUUUGCAACACGAUCCAAGAUUCAUUUUAGAUGAUAAAUUAUUGAGUUCUUUUUCUUUGUAGGGGGGGUUUCAGUGGUGCUAAAAACACCCUUAAUACCCCAAACACA